CGCUGGCGGCGCGCCUAACACAUGCAAGUCGAACGAGAGAUGAGGAGCUUGCUCUUCAGAUCGAGUGGCGAACGGGUGAGUAACGCGUGAGGAACCUGCCUCAAAGAGGGGGACAACAGUUGGAAACGACUGCUAAUACCGCAUAAGCCCACGGCUCGGCAUCGAGCAGAGGGAAAAGGAGCAAUCCGCUUUGAGAUGGCCUCGCGUCCGAUUAGCUAGUUGGUGAGGUAACGGCCCACCAAGGCGACGAUCGGUAGCCGGACUGAGAGGUUGAACGGCCACAUUGGGACUGAGACACGGCCCAGACUCCUACGGGAGGCAGCAGUGGGGAAUAUUGCACAAUGGGGGAAACCCUGAUGCAGCGACGCCGCGUGGAGGAAGAAGGUCUUCGGAUUGUAAACUCCUGUUGUUGGGGAAGAUAAUGACGGUACCCAACAAGGAAGUGACGGCUAACUACGUG
rnacentral:rRNA from 1 species